rnacentral:rRNA from 1 species
CAGUAGCCGCGGUAAGACAGAGGAUGCAAGCGUUAUCCGGAAUGAUUGGGCGUAAAGCGUCUGUAGGUGGCUUUUCAAGUCCGCCGUCAAAUCCCAGGGCUCAACCCUGGACAGGCGGUGGAAACUACCAAGCUGGAGUACGGUAGGGGCAGAGGGAAUUUCCAGUGGAGCGGUGAAAUGCGUUGAGAUCGAAAAGAACACCAACAGCGAAAGCACUCUGCUGGGACGACACUGACACUAAGAGACGAAAGCUAGGGGAGCAAAUGGGAUUAGAUACCCCAGUAGUCCCUGUCUCUUAUAC